rnacentral:tRNA from 1 species
GAGGGUAUAGCUUAGUGGUAGAGUGUGUGCUUAGCAUGCAUGAGGUCCUGGGUUCAGUUCUCCAUCCUGGGUUCAAUUCUCCGUACCUCCA